AGAGUUUGAUCCUGGCUCAGGAUGAACGCUAGCGGCAGGCCUAAUACAUGCAAGCUGAACGGUAAAUAUUGUAGCAAUACGAUAUGAGAGUAGCGUAAGGGUGCGUAACACGUAUGCAAAUCUGCCCUGUACAGGAGGAUAGCUCGGGGAAACCCGGAUUAAUACUCCGUAGUAUUAUUGAGAGGCAUCUUUUGAUAAUUAAAGUCGCAAGACGGUACAGGAUGAGCAUGCGUCUGAUUAGCUAGUUGGUGGUGUAACGGACCACCAAGGCGAUGAUCAGUAGGGGAACUGAGAGGUUGAUCCCCCACACUGGCACUGAGAUACGGGCCAGACUCCUACGGGAGGCAGCAGUAGGGAAUAUUGGUCA
rnacentral:rRNA from 1 species